rnacentral:pre_miRNA from 1 species
UGUUGGUCUGUUCUUUUUAACUGUGUUACUAAUCUUGUGCAUAAGUUCAGCAACACGGCUAAAAAGGACGGGUCGCUGU